rnacentral:rRNA from 1 species
CCUACGGGCGGCAGCAGUGAGGAAUAUUGGUCAAUGGACGAGAGUCUGAACCAGCCAAGUAGCGUGAAGGAUGACUGCCCUAUGGGUUGUAAACUUCUUUUAUAUGGGAAUAAAAUGUUCCACGUGUGGGUUUUUGUAUGUACCAUAUGAAUAAGGAUCGGCUAACUCCGUGCCAGCAGCCGCGGUAAUACGGUGGGUCCGUUCGUUAUCCGGAAUUAUUGGGUUUAAAGGGUGCGUAGGUGGAUUGUUAAGUCAGUUGUGAAAGUUUGCGGCUCAACCGUAAAAUUGCAGUUGAAACUGGCAGUCUUGAGUACAGUAGAGGUGGGCGGAAUUCGUGGUGUAGCGGUGAAAUGCAUAGAUAUCACGAAGAACUCCGAUUGCGAAGGCAGCUCACUGGACUGCAACUGACACUGAGGCUCGAAAGUGUGGGUAUCAAACAGGAUUAGAUACCCCGGUAGUC